AGCAACCCCCUGGGGUCCCCUUCCACACUGUGGAAGCUUUGUUCUUUCGCUCUUUGCAAUACUUGCUGCUGCUCACUCUCUUUUGGUCCACACUGCCUUUAUGAGCUGUAACACUCACCGGGAACGUCUGCAGCUUCACUCCUGAAGUCAGCGAGACCACGAACCCACUGGAAGGAAGGAACAACUCCAGACGCGCCACCUUAAGAGCUGUAACACUCACCGCGAAGGUCUGCAGCUUCACUCCUGAAGCCAGCGAGACCACGAACCCACAGGGAGGAACGAACAACUCCAGACGCGCCGCCUUAAGAGCUGUAACACUCACCGCGAAGGUCCGCAGCUUCGCUCCUGAGCCAGCAAGACCACGAACCCACCAAAAGGAAGAAACUCCAAACAGAUCUGAACAUCAGAAGGAACAAACUCCGGACACGCCACCUUUAAGAACUGUAACACUCACCUUGAGGGUCGGCAGCUUCAUUCUUGAAGUCAGUGAGACCAAGAACCCACCAAUUCCGGACACAGGGAGCUAGCCACUCCGUGGUUUCUGCUCUGCUGAGAACUGAGCAGACUUUGGGACUACCAGCUCCAGAGAGGAGCUACCCACUGCAGAGUUCCUCCAGGCUGUUCAUUUUUCCUCCCCUGUCCUCUCUUUGCAGAUGGGUAAUCAUGUCUCUGCACCACGGGACACUCCCCUCUGAGGCAUAAAAGUUUAAUUUUUGGCCUGGCACGGUGGCUUAUGCCUGUAAUCCCAGCACUUUGAGAGGCCGAGGCGGGCGGAUCACCUGAGGUCAGUAGUUCGAGACCAGCUUAGCCAACAUAGUGAAACCCAGUCUCUACUAAAAAUACAAAAAUUAGCUGGGCAUGGUGGCACGGGCCUGUAAUGCCAGCUACUCGGGAGGCUGAGGCAAGAGAAUCGCUUGAACCCAGGAGGCGGAGGUUACAGUGAGCCGAGAUCGCGCCACUGCACUCCAGCCUGGGUGCAGUGAGACUGCGGCUCAAAAAAAAAGAAUUCUUACCAGUUGAACCUCUGGCUUCUUUCUCUCUGUCUGUGAAAACAUGGUUGUAGAUUCUCUCUCCUCCAUGACUCCAUGACUUCCCUUUUACUGGGAACCUAUGCAUAGGACUCUGAGAGAGAUCUGUCAUUUUCCCCAAAACCAGGCCCCCUGUCAGCAUGAAGCAGUUAGAUAUACCUCUUCAGAGAUGUGAUUGAUGGCAGCGGCAGCCCAUCUGGACCAGCCACUGCCGUGACGCCAUCAGUGUGAGACGUGUAGCUAGGGCUGUGCACUCCACAGAGCUGGUGGGAGCUGGGAAUAGGUGAAAACCCUGCCUCCUUGUGAGUUGGCAGGACGGGAGCCUCCUGUUCCCUGGCUGCUGUUGUGGCCACCGAGCCGCAGCCCUGGAGCCAGGCAUCCCUGUGCUUGGGGAUCAGAGCGAGCAGGAGCAGAUCCUCUCCCUUCUGGGUGCAGCUGCAGCUGCCCAGCCAUGGCUGUGGUCCCGGAAGUCUCUGUGCUCUUGGGAGCUGGGAGGGCCCUCUGCCUCCUGCCCCUUACGCACUCCAGAGUCUCCUCUCUGUUGAGAGCUAAGCAGACAUCAGGACUACCAGCUGCAGAGAGGAGCUACCCACUGUGGGCUUCGUCUCUGCUGAGAGCUGAACACUCACUGGGACGCCCUGCCUAUGGAAACCAGCUGUUCACUCUGGGUCUCCUCUGAGCUGUUCUGUCGCUCAGUAAAGGUCUUCUUCUGCUUACUCGCCCUCCAUUUGUCUGCCUUACCUCAUUCAUCCUGGACACAGGACAAGAACUUGGGACUUGCCGGUAUGGUGGAGCUAAAAUAGCUGUAACACAAACAGGAUUGAAACAUGCCCCUUGCUCGCCACAUUGUGGAUGACAAGAGGGAGGGAAGAAAGGAGAGAAGAUCUGCGACCCUUCGGCAAACCCAGACUUAGGAGAUCGGAGAGCCAAGACUGUGACACCCUUUCUGGGGCUCUGUGGUUCCUGGCGUCUCCAAGCUUCUGGGCACCUCGGCUUUCCCCGGUGCCAGUCGUGGAAGCUGCUUGUGGCCUCCAUUUGCUGUUUGGGAAACUCUCUACGCUAUGAAUGUUAGCUGGCAGCAAACACUGCCUCCCACUACAGGGGCACACAGUGUUGGUGCCUGCUUUUCCACCCUCCACUUCCAACAGGAAGCAAGCACAGGACCCAAGCAUUGCAGACAGUUGUAUCACGCCAAUGUGCAUUCGGAGCCACUGACAGCAGAGUCUUGCUUUGUCACCCAGGCUGGAGUACAGUGGCGUGAUCACAGCUUACUGAAACGUCUGCGUCUCAGGUUCAAGCGAUUUUUCUGCCUCAGCCUCUGGUGUAGCUGGAAUUACAGUGUUAGCAGUCACUGAUGCUCAAACGUUAUUAUAAUAUGAAACUCGAAUCUAUGUUUAGCAAACGGAAAAAAAGAACAUUUAAAUCUAAUGAAGAUCAAGAACAAUAAUCUUAGGUUAUGCAGACCUCCUUGAUGGCAUCCAGAAGUCUGAUCAGAGGAGGGAUGGACACAGCUUUGACUAGGAGAUCUCACCUCCCGCAUACCGACCUUACUCAUAAAAGCUUCUGGUUAUGUUCAAAGGCAAGUCGGAUUUGAGAAUUUGCCUCUCGCACUCUCUCAUUUUGGCCAAAUCAAAUAAUGCCUUUCUCUCUUCCUAAGCGCUGAUGUAUCAGUGUUUGGCUUAUUGUGCAUUGGGUACUCAAACUUAAAUUUGGGGGUUUUGUAACAAUUUCACUCUUCUGCAAUCAAUUGAAAUAAAUUUUCUCCUUUGAUUUCUGUUUGUUCUUUCACUCACCUGCAAUGAUUCUACCAGAAAUGUUUUAAUCAGUAAAGAUAUAGCUUGAAUUUUUAUACUUAACCCAAAUUUACAUGUCAAAAUAAAAAAUGAAAACAAUAAAAAAAACUAUGCAUGCCUCUCCAUCUACACAUUAAUGGCAAAAGUGCAAGAUAUAGAAAGCAUGGCUUGAGUGCUGUGUGUGUACUGAUUAUUUCAUACAUAUGUACUCUUUAAACUUUAUCUAUGUAGAGAAAUAAAUUCUAAGAUUACUGCUCUUUCUCAAAUAAUAAAAAGCUCAAGAACUGCUAAUCACAGGAAUAAAAAAAUCCCUAUAUAAUAUUUCAUUAGUGAUAUUUUCAGCCCGAGUGCUUCUAUUACCUAUAUUUUUUGGUAAGUAUAUUUUUAUAUAGUUAUUUACGGAAUAUCUGAUUUACUAUAAUAAUAAAUUUGUGUUAACAAAAAGUUUAAAUAUUGAAUGCAUUAAAUAAAAUCUAGUUACUUGUCUAGGAAAUUUUCAAAGCAAAACUUACUCAAAUAUUAGUUGACAUUGUGAAAAUAGUUCUGAACAUAAUGUCUCAGACAUAACAUAAAACUUUUUAAAUGAAAGCGAGAAUUUAUGUCUAACAUGUAAAAUAAAUUGUGUCAGUAUUAGAAUAGUAUUUUGACCUUGAACAGAAAUAUAUCUGUAAUAAUCAUCACUAUGUUGCCAAAAUGAGAGAAAAUAACACUAUAUAAAUACUUAAUCAAACAGUGCUUUAUCUUUUCAUCUAAUAAUAUAGAUAUACCCCUAAAAUUUACCAUUCUAAGAAUGUGUACAUGAUGUAUUACUAGCCAUAUAAAAAUAAUUGUGGUGGGCAUUUUUGAGGGGUCGUUUUAGAACUUUUCAAAAUUCCCCUGAGAAUAUUUUGUUAGAAUAGGUGCCAUAUAUUUUUAGAAUCUUGAUUUGGGAGCAAUUUCAAUAUAAGUAUUUCUAGUUAUUUAAAACGAAUAAUUUUAAAAAGAACAGCAGUAAGGCAAGAAAUAAAAGGUUAAAAACUUUUAGAUUUUUAUUUAAGACAGUUAAUGUACAUUACAGUCACAUAGCACGUAAUGAAGUUUCAGUCAAUAAUCCACUGCAUAUAGGAUGGUGGUUCCAUAAGAUUGUAAUGGAGCUGUAAAAUUUCUGCCCUCUAGUGAUGCUGUAGCCAUCACAACUUCAUAGGACGACACAUUACUUACAUGUUUGUGGUGAUGCUGGUGUAAAUGAACCUACCUUCAUAAAUGUAUAGCACAUAUAAUUAUGUAUAGUAUGUAAUACUUAAUAAUGAUUAUAAACUACCAUGUUACUGGUUUAUGUAUUUACUCUACUAUACUUUUAUAGUUAUUUUAGGUAUUCCUUCUACUUAAAAAAUAAAAAUAAAGUUAAGUGUAAAAGAUCCUCAGGCUGGUUCCUUAGGGAGAUAUUCCAGAAGAAAGCAUUGUUAUCAUAGGAGAUGACAGCUCCACACAUGUUGUCCAACAUGACCUUUCAGUGGGCAAGAUGUGGAGGUUGAAGACAAUGAUAUUGAUGAUCCCGAUUCUGUGUAGGCCCAGUCUAACAUGUGUGUUUGUGUUUUCAUUUUUAACAAAAUGUUUUAAAAGUAAAGAAAAUAACAAUUAAAAUUGAGGCGGGUGGAUCAUCUGAGGUCAGGAGUUUGAGAGCAGCCUGGCCAACAUGGCAAAACCUCGUCUCUACUAAAAAUACAAAAAAAAAAAAAAAAAAAAAAAUUAGCCAGGUGUGGUGGCAUGCACCUAUAGUCCCAGCUACUCAUGAGACUGAGGCAGGAGAAUCACUUCAAUCCAGGAGGAUGAGGUUGCAGUGAGCCGAGGUCCACCAUUGCACUCCAGCCAGGCUAACGAGCUAAACUACAUCAAA
rnacentral:lncRNA from 1 species